UACGUAGGGUGCAAGCGUUAAUCGGAAUUACUGGGCGUAAAGGGCGCGUAGGCGGGUCGUUAAGUUAGAGGUGAAAGCCCAGGGCUCAACCCUGGAAUUGCCUUUAAUACUGUCGACCUUGAGUAUGGCAGAGGUGUGUGGAACUCCGAGUGUAGAGGUGAAAUUCGUAGAUAUUCGGAAGAACACCAGUGGCGAAGGCGACACACUGGGCCAUUACUGACGCUGAGGCGCGAAAGCGUGGGGAGCAAACAGG
rnacentral:rRNA from 1 species